rnacentral:rRNA from 1 species
CCUACGGGUGGCAGCAGUGGGGAAUAUUGCACAAUGGGGGGAACCCUGAUGCAGCGACGCCGCGUGAGUUAAGAAGUAUUUCGGUAUGUAAAGCUCUAUCAGCAGGGAAGAAAAUGCCGGUACCUGACUAAGAAGCCCGGGCUAACUCCGUGCCAGCAGCCGCGGUAAGACGUAGGGGGCAAGCGUUAGCCGGCUUUACUGGGUGUAAAGGGAGCGUAGACGGCAGAGCAAGUCUGAGGUGAAAGCCCGCGGCCAAACUGCGGGACUGGUUUGGAACUGCCCGGCUAGAGUGCUGGAGAGGUAAGCGGAAUUCCUAGUGUAGCUGUGAAAUGCGUAGAUAUUAGGAGGAACACCAGUGGCGAAGGCGGCUUACUGGACAGUAACUGACGUUGAGGCUCGAAAGCGUGGGGAGCAAACAGGAGUAGAUACCCUAGUAGUC